rnacentral:lncRNA from 1 species
UGUGAGAGAAAGAAUACACUAAUAAAUCUUGCAUUUAUCCCAGAGCAAGUAUUCCAAAGAACCAUUCACAUGCUCUUUUGAGAGACAUAGAUUGCCAAAUUGCCAAUCAUUAGCACUUAGCAGUAUCUUCGUCACCCAAUAGUUCUAAAAUAGCUCCAUUUAACGACACAAACUACUGAAGUAGACAACAUUUUGGAAACAAAAAAUAACAUUUAAGUUGCGACAGCGAGUAUCAUAUCACCAAGCGUAUGCAUUUUCCAGCCAGAUUUCAUAUGGGAAUAUUAAAAGAAACAAUAUGUUCUACAGGUGAUCAAAGUUGCUUGUAUAAGAUGAUCAUAUUUGCAAUUCUUUUUCUCCAUUUUAAAUCACGAAGUUAUCAUAUUGUAAUCAAAUUUAUAUCUUCUUUUCGAAAUUACUUUUCGAUCUCUAAAGAAUCUCAGAUUUUUUU